CUGCAGGGAGGUCGGCAACGACCACCCAGAGCCGGAAAGUUCGUCAAACUCGGUCAUUUAGAGGAAGUAAAAGUCGUAACAAGGUUUCCGUAGGUGAACCUGCGGAAGGAUCAUUACUGGGUCACAGGGCGCUCCGGCGCCCGUCACCACCCCCUGCUUCCCGCCCCCUUUCGGCGCGACGGGGUCCCCUCGCGGGGCCCCCUGCCGGAGCCCAAACCCUGAACGAACUUGCAGCCUGAGUAAAGAAGCAAAUAAUUAAAACUUUCAACAACGGAUCUCUUGGUUCUGGCAACGAUGAAGAACGCAGCGAAAUGCGAUAAGUAAUGUGAAUUGCAGAAUUCAGUGAAUCAUCGAAUCUUUGAACGCACAUUGCGCCCCCUGGUAUUCCGGGGGGCACACCUGUUCGAGCGCCAUUUCAACCCUCAAGCCCGGCUUGGUGAUGGGCCCCGCCCGCGGGCGGGCCCGAAACUCGCAGGCGUCACCGUCCUGGCCUCAAGCGUAGCAAAACCCUCGCUUGGAUGCCCGGGUGGCGGCCGCCCUGGAACGAUUUUUAUUUACAAGGUUGGCCUCGGAUCAGGUGGGGAUACCCGCUGAACUUAAGCAUAUCAAUAAGCGGAGGAAAAGAAACCAACAGGGAUUGCCUCAGUAACGGCGAGUGAAGCGGCAACAGCUCAAAUUUGAAAUCUGGCCCCCUCGGGGUCCGAGUUGUAAUUUGUAGAGGGUGCUUCGGUGGAAGCUCCGGCCCAAGUCCCUUGGAACAGGACGUCAGAGAGGGUGAGAACCCCGUGUCCGGCCGGCAGCGU
rnacentral:rRNA from 1 species